UGUUUCACCUUAUAUUUUUAAUGGGCUAGCAUUUUAUUCUGAACAUAGCUGUAGUUUCACAAGAUCAUUUAGCCUUCAGAUUAGCAGGUCAUGCUAAUUUGAAUCAGGUGUUGUGUUCUCUAUGGGGAAAUGGCACUUUGUAGACUUGUUGCAAGAUGUUGGUUGCUGCUUCAGCGUACUGAUGAAGUCUGGCAUGAACACAGUACCACUUCAACUCAAGGGGGAAUUCCACAAGUGCACAUGCUCAUCGCCACCACAGAACGGAUCCUGUAACAGGAGAUUGGCCACUGCUGCAGGUGCCGCUUCCACUCACGGCAUAGGAAUCCGGUGGCAGACCUCACACAAGGGCGGACGGAGUCUACAGUGGCGCCGCACUGCGACGAGAUCACAGGCUUGGUCAAUCGACUCAUUCUACGGUCAUUUCCCUCAACUCACAAGAAUGUGAGGGUAAGAGUGUAUGUGCGUGUCAUGUACACUCCUCUACUUUUGCUUCUCUGACCCUUCACCCAGUCCUGCAUCCCAUCCGUCUUCACAAACGAGAAUCUGCUAAAAUUGGCCACUUCCACCUUGUCCUCCUGCUGCUUAACAAACCCUCAUCCAUUGACACUCUGUUAUCCCAGACCCUCCAACAUCACAACAAGACCUCCCACGGGAAUUCACCAUCAGUUUUAGUGUAAUUAUCACUCCUAUCUGGACAUUAAAAGGACAUUUCCUCCAUAUACCCUGUUUACACUGAAAAUAACUCUUAAAAAUAUGAUAUAUUUGAAUAAGAUGUCAAGGAAACAGGUGUAAUGUAAUGCCAGGGAACUGCUUGUAUUUAAAUUGCAUUGUCAAAAUUUCACCAAAUCUCAUAGACUCAUAAUAAAUUAUUCCGGGUGUCUUUGUCGUGGCAGAUAGUGAUCAGUGUGAAAGCCUCGUCAGAGUUCUGUUCCCUGAAAUCAAUUUUGAUUGGUGGAGAGGGUCAUGUGUUAUGGUUUGAAU